AAAGAGAUCAACGUUUCCAUAGACAGG
rnacentral:sRNA from 1 species